rnacentral:rRNA from 1 species
UACGUAGGGUGCGAGCGUUAAUCGGAAUUACUGGGCGUAAAGCGUGCGCAGGCGGUUCGUUGUGUCGGCGGUGAAAGCCCCGGGCUCAACCUGGGAAUGGCCGUUGAAACUGGCGAACUGGAGUGUGGCAGAGGGGAGUGGAAUUCCGCGUGUAGCAGUGAAAUGCGUAGAGAUGCGGAGGAACACCGAUGGCGAAGGCAGCCCCCUGGGCUGACACUGACGCUCAGGCACGAAAGCGUGGGGAGCAAACAGG